CAUUCUUUAUUCGUUUGUUCUAAUGUAAAUUAAAGCCGCUGGUCUUAAGCUAAAUAAUUGAUUUCUAAAUAAAGCUCUAUAGUUUUCCUAAAUUAAAUAAAAGAGAGAUUUAUUGAAAACUCGCUGUGAGGAGAAAUCAGCAACGUUGUGGUGCAUACAUAUGCGUAGAAUGAAACCAGAAAAGGACUACCGUAUCCGUCUCCAUAUGUAUUCCCGGCCAAACAGAUCUUGGAAAGACCAGGAUUUUCUGUAGACAUCUGCAGCCUCUUAUGCACCAUCAGAAACAACAGCAGAUUGACCAACAUAAAUAAUAAUAUACAUAUAUUCAAAUAAAAUGAAAACAAUAAACAUUUCCCGAGCAUAAAUUUGUUUUUGUUUACAUUCGAGAAAAAAAAAAGAAAUAAUAUAAAUACAUACAUAUGCAAUGAAUUCAACAAUAUUAUAUUGUUGAAUUGAUCGUAUUCACGCAUUAAAUCAACAAUAUAAUCACAAUUACUUCAACAAUAAUAUUGUUGUUUCUACAAUAAAGCAACUGAGAUCUUGAUUGUAAAAACAACAAUAUUAUGGAUUGAUUCAAACGGAAAAUAUUAUUAGCCCUGAGCUAACAAUAUUUAUUGUUGAAAUCAACCCAGAAUAUUGUUGUUUCUACAA